UCAUUUACGACAAGCUUUCAGCUAAAUUUCUGGAAGAAAAAUGAAAAACAACAAGGAAAUAAAAGGAAAAGGAAAAAACAUAGGGAAAACCAUUCAAGUGUAAAUACGUUGCCGUAGUAACAAAGCACGUGACCCACAAUGCAUUGCGGUCAUACAUUAACACGAAAAACAUGGCGGACUUGCAAAGCGGAGGUGUGAAACAUGAGGGGAAUAUAAUGUCGCUGUUUGUAACGCUAUACAAUGGAAUUGAGGGACCAAUGAUUAUUAUUGUUUCAAAUUAAGUCGGACAGACACAAAGUGGGCACUUAGGAUAUUUUUGUUUCAGGUAUCUACACACUCUCCUAUAUCUAAUAUAAGUGGCUAGAGGACUGGCAGUGAUGGUUAUCUAGGACUAGACCUGCACGAUGAUCAGUUAUUUCACUCAAAUGAUUCAAAUAGUAAGUUGUUGACUUUUUAUCAUGUUAUCCUUCUACUUUCAGAUUAAAGGUAUUUAGAAAUUAUUUUAACAGCUAAAU